rnacentral:rRNA from 1 species
UUGAACGCUGGCGGCAGGCCUCACCCCUGCCAGUCGAGCGGAUGAAGGGAGCUUGCUCCUGGAUUCAGCGGCGGACGGGUGAGUAAUGCCUAGGAAUCUGCCUGGUAGUGGGGGAUAACGUCCGGAAACGGGCGCUAAUACCGCAUACGUCCUGAGGGAGAAAGUGGGGGAUCUUCGGACCUCACGCUAUCAGAUGAGCCUAGGUCGGAUUAGCUAGUUGGUGGGGUAAAGGCCUACCAAGGCGACGAUCCGUAACUGGUCUGAGAGGAUGAUCAGUCACACUGGAACUGAGACACGGUCCAGACUCCUACGGGAGGCAGCAGUGGGGAAUAUUGGACAAUGGGCGAAAGCCUGAUCCAGCCAUGCCGCGUGUGUGAAGAAGGUCUUCGGAUUGUAAAGCACUUUAAGUUGGGAGGAAGGGCAGUAAGUUAAUACCUUGCUGUUUUGACGUUACCAACAGAAUAAGCACCGGCUAACUUCGUG